rnacentral:rRNA from 1 species
UACGGAGGAUGCAAGCGUUAUCCGGAAUGAUUGGGCGUAAAGCGUCCGCAGGUGGCUGUGUAAGUCUGCUGUCAAAGAGCAAAGCUCAACUUUGUAAAGGCAGUGGAAACUACACGGCUAGAGUGCGUUCGGGGCAGAGGGAAUUCCUGGUGUAGCGGUGAAAUGCGUAGAGAUCAUGAGGAAGACCAGUGGCGAAGGCGGGUCUCUGGACAGUUCCUGACACUGAGACACGAAGGCCAGGGGAGCAAACGGG